UACGUAGGGCGCAAGCGUUAUCCGGAAUUAUUGGGCGUAAAGAGCUCGUAGGCGGUCUGUUACGUCUGCUGUGAAAACUGGAGGCUCAACCUCCAGCCUGCAGUGGGUACGGGCAGACUAGAGUGCGGUAGGGGAGAUUGGAAUUCCUGGUGUAGCGGUGAAAUGCGCAGAUAUCAGGAGGAACACCGGUGGCGAAGGCGGAUCUCUGGGCCGUAACUGACGCUGAGGAGCGAAAGCAUGGGGAGCGAACAGG
rnacentral:rRNA from 1 species